rnacentral:rRNA from 1 species
GAUGAACGCUAGCGGCAGGCUUAAUACAUGCAAGUCGAGGGGCAGCAGCUUUGUAGCAAUACAGGGGCUGGCGACCGGCAAACGGGUGCGGAACACGUACGCAACCUUCCUUUAACUGGAAGAUAGCCCACCGAAAGGUGGAUUAAUACUCCAUAACAUAUUGAAGAGGCAUCUCUUUGAUAUUAAAGCUCCGGCGGUUAAAGAUGGGCGUGCGUCUGAUUAGGUAGUUGGCGGGGUAACGCCCACCAAGCCUUCGAUCAGUAGCUGAUGUGAGAGCAUGAUCAGCCACACGGGCACUGAGACACGGGCCCGACUCCUACGGGGAGGCAGCAGUAAGGAAUAUUGGUCAAUGGACGCAAGUCUG